rnacentral:rRNA from 1 species
CGAGUGACACCUCCCGAAAGGGAGUUUCCGCAAGGACACUCGUAGAGGUGCUGCAUGGCUGUCGUCAGCUCGUGUCGUGAGAUGUUGGGUUAAGUCCCGCAACGAGCGCCAACCUUUGUCUGCUGUUGCCAUCACGUUAUGGUGGGCACUCUGCAGAGACUGCCGGUGAUAAACCGGAGGAAGGUGGGGAUGACGUCAAGUCAGCAUGGCCUUUAUGUCUGGGGCUACACACGUGCUACAAUGGCCGAUACAAACCGUCGCAAAACCGUAAGGUCGAGCUAAUCGGAGAAAGUCGGUCUCAGUUCGGAUUGCAGGCUGCAACUCGCCUGCAUGAAGUUGGAAUCGCUAGUAAUCGCGGAUCAGCACGCCGCGGUGAAUACGUUCCCGGGCCUUGUACACACCGCCCGUCACAUCACGAAAGCCGGUUGUACUAGAAGUCGCCAUACCAACCCGCAAGGGAGGGAGGCGCCUAAGGUAUGGUCGGUGAUUGGGGUGAAGUCGUAACAAGGUAAGCGUAGUGCU